UACGUAGGUGGCAAGCGUUGUCCGGAUUUACUGGGCGUAAAGAGCGCGCAGGCGGUCGAUUUAGUCGCGUGUGAAAGCCCCCCGGCUCAACUGGGGAGGGUCACGCGAUACUGAUCGACUCGAAGGCAGGAGAGGGUAGUGGAAUUCCCGGUGUAGUGGUGAAAUGCGUAGAUAUCGGGAGGAACACCAGUGGCGAAGGCGACUACCUGGCCUGUUCUUGACGCUGAGGCGCGGAAAGCUAGGGGAGCAAACGGGG
rnacentral:rRNA from 1 species